GAAUACCCACAUCAUAGUACACUGGCAGACGUGGAUCUACAGUUAAUUAUAAUCAUGCUUUUUUCUUUUAGAAAUUGAAAAACAUUCAUUAGCAAUAUAAAUUUACAAAAAAAAUGAGGUAACAGAUUGUAAACAUGUUUGUCACUCUGUUCAAGUUGGUAAUGUUAAAAAUUAAUUCAAAGAUUCAACAAAUUGACGCACGUGGUAACGACGCCUGCCUUUUACGCACAAACUUUACUCACAAGCAGUGGCU